rnacentral:rRNA from 1 species
AACGAACGCUGGCGGCAUGCCUAACACAUGCAAGUCGAACGAGACCUUCGGGUCUAGUGGCGCACGGGUGCGUAACGCGUGGGAACCUGCCCUUAGGUUCGGAAUAACUCCCCGAAAGGGGUGCUAAUACCGGAUAAUGUCUUCGGACCAAAGAUUUAUCGCCUUUGGAUGGGCCCGCGUUGGAUUAGCUAGUUGGCAGGGUAAAAGCCUACCAAGGCGACGAUCCAUAGCUGGUCUGAGAGGAUGAUCAGCCACACUGGGACUGAGACACGGCCCAGACUCCUACGGGAGGCAGCAGUGGGGAAUAUUGGACAAUGGGCGAAAGCCUGAUCCAACAAUGCCGCGUGAGUGAUGAAGGCCUUAGGGUUGUAAAGCUCUUUUACCCGGGAUGAUAAUGACAGUACCGGGAGAAUAAGCUCCGGCUAACUCCGUG